rnacentral:rRNA from 1 species
UGGGGAAUUUUGGACAAUGGACGCAAGUCUGAUCCAGCCAUGCCGCGUGCGGGAAGAAGGCCUUCGGGUUGUAAACCGCUUUUGUCAGGGAAGAAACGAGUUUCUCUAAUACAGAGACUUAAUGACGGUACCUGAAGAAUAAGCACCGGCUAACUACGUGCCAGCAGCCGCGGUAAUACGUAGGGUGCGAGCGUUAAUCGGAAUUACUGGGCGUAAAGCGUGCGCAGGCGGUUAUAUAAGACAGAUGUGAAAUCCCCGGGCUCAACCUGGGAACUGCAUUUGUGACUGCAUAGCUAGAGUACGGUAGAGGGGGAUGGAAUUCCGCGUGUAGCAGUGAAAUGCGUAGAUAUGCGGAGGAACACCGAUGGCGAAGGCAAUCCCCUGGAUCUGUACUGACGCUCAUGCACGAAAGCGUGGGGAGCAAACA